CAGGUCAUUAAGAGGAAGCAGCAGCUCCUGGAGUGAAAGAGGGGCUACAGACAGAGAGGUGGAUUGCAACUAUGGGAAAGGAUGUUGGUCUGGUAGAGCUAAUCCUCAGAACCACCAGGAGGAGGUGCCAUCCUGUGGCUCCACGACGUUAGGAGAAAUGGGGAGCGGAGGAAGGCAGGUUUGAGAUCCCAGAUCUGUAAACACCUGUAGAGUUUUUUCUGGGUGGUGCCAAAACUGGAAGGAACCUUUUCCCAGAUCAAUGGAAUCCAAAUAUUGUGAGAGCAAUUACCAAAGAUUUCAACACCUCCAAAUUCAGACCCAAACUCUCUGGCCUUAGCCACAGACGCAAACUCCAGCCUGGGACUCAGCUGGACCUAGGUCUAAACAUCAUCUCCACCCACUGAUAGCAGAAUCAUAAACUGGAAGGAAGCAGCUGGCCAGGAUUACACCAGUUUAACCUGCCAAUUUUUUUUUUUAUGGCUACUUGCAGGACCCAAACAAAUCAAAAGUGGAAUUGAUCUGAGAAAACCAAACAAGCUUCCCUUUGAAGUAAAACACCCUUGAGAAAUCCCAGAUGUUGGUGUAGGAAGGAAUUGCCCAUAUGUUAAUCACUCUGCACUAGUCCAUCUGACAAGAAAUGUCACCAUGUGUUGCAGCAGGUGCUGAUUACUAGUUGGUCUUGCCAGUCACACAUGAUGGACUCCAAAAUAAUUUCAGCUCCCUUCUCCCACCCUCAGCCCACAGACCUACAUACACUGAAAGUCUGUUCCAUUCUGUUCAUGCAGAUUUGUUAACUUGGCUGGAAGUUUUCAUGCCUAAAUAAAACCAUGGAAAUCUGAGCACCACAGCAGGCCAAUGGCUUAAAAUUAUAUCGUGAUGCCCUGGUACAAGGGGAACAGGAGCUCCUUAGCAACUAAAAUCCACCAGUGACAAGUUUGUACUCUGUCUGUCAUGCUCACAAGCCAACACACUGUGCUAAAACAACUCAACCAGGUGGCACUGCCCCCUCUGCACUGGGGAGUGUCUUGUUGUGCUAUGCCAGCUGAUCUACAGCUCAGAUUGCUGGUGCGUCCACAGAAUGGAACUGGUAGACAGAGCGGAGAGGCAGAGCCCACAUGUUGGGCACAAGGCUAGAUAGAUGGGAAAGGGCACUAAAGGAGAGGGAUGAAAUGGGGUGGGGGGAGAAGAACAGAGCAAACGAGGGCCUCAAGACUAAUUCAGGGAACAGGAGGGGAGACUUAAUGAGCUAAACAUGAGGAGUAGAGAAUUUUACCAAUUUAACUUUUUUUUUUUUUUUAGUGUGCAUGUGCUAAUAUAGGAAUACAGUUAGUUUCCAUUCCUAACAUUUUAUAUGUGCUAAAGUUCAACUCUUGCAAGUACUCUACAGUCCUCCUGUGGUGAAAGUGAAUGGGUUGUAAAAGGUGGUGAAGAGCUCUUACGUUUCAGCAACUGUGGGGUUGGCAGCGUAAACGUAUGUGUGUUAACAGGGCAUAUUAGGGCAUUCCUAAAAGAGGGUAGAGUCAAGGUAGCAUGGGCACCAUUAACGCUGCGUUUUCUGAUUGAGCUUUGCUCAACUCAGCCAGGCAAGCUUACUUCUGUGUUAACAUAGUUUUUUGCCAUUGAUAGAAAAGGGUUGUGAAAAGGUUGACAACCACUAGCCCAGACUGCUUUGAAAACCUCAGUUCAAACACUUGAGGAGGCAAGACAAAAUUGUCAACAGCUCCUGAAGAAAAUGGGCUGAUGGGUAUUCAUAAGAACAGCCACACUGGGUCACACCAAUGGUCCAUCUAGCCCAGUACCCUGUGUUCUGGCA